rnacentral:rRNA from 1 species
CAUACGUGCGGCAGCAGUGGGGAAUAUUGGACAAUGGGCGAAAGCCUGAUCCAGCCAUGCCGCGUGUGUGAAGAAGGCCUUCGGGUUGUAAAGCACUUUCAGUGGGGAAGAAAGCCUUGGGGCUAAUACCCUCGAGGAAGGACAUCACCCACAGAAGAAGCACCGGCUAACUCCGUGCCAGCAGCCGCGGUAAUACGGAGGGUGCGAGCGUUAAUCGGAAUUACUGGGCGUAAAGCGCGCGUAGGCGGUCUGAUAAGCCGGUUGUGAAAGCCCCGGGCUCAACCUGGGAACGGCAUCCGGAACUGUCAGGCUAGAGUGCAGGAGAGGAAGGUAGAAUUCCCGGUGUAGCGGUGAAAUGCGUAGAGAUCGGGAGGAAUACCAGAGGCGAAGGCGGCCUUCUGGGCUGACACUGACGCUGAGGUGCGAAAGCGUGGGUAGCAAACAGGAUUAGAUACCCGAGUAGUC